rnacentral:rRNA from 1 species
UACGUAGGGUGCAAGCGUUAAUCGGAAUUACUGGGCGUAAAGCGUGCGCAGGCGGUUUUGUAAGUCUGACGUGAAAUCCCCGGGCUCAACCUGGGAAUUGCGUUGGAGACUGCAUGGCUGGAGUGCGGCAGAGGGGGAUGGAAUUCCGCGUGUAGCAGUGAAAUGCGUAGAUAUGCGGAGGAACACCGAUGGCGAAGGCAAUCCCCUGGGCCUGCACUGACGCUCAUGCACGAAAGCGUGGGGAGCAAACAGG